rnacentral:rRNA from 1 species
GAUGAACGCUGGCGGCGUGCCUAAUACAUGCAAGUCGAGCGAACGGACGAGAAGCUUGCUUCUCUGAUGUUAGCGGCGGACGGGUGAGUAACACGUGGAUAACCUACCUAUAAGACUGGGAUAACUUCGGGAAACCGGAGCUAAUACCGGAUAAUAUUUUGAACCGCAUGGUUCAAAAGUGAAAGACGGUCUUGCUGUCACUUAUAGAUGGAUCCGCGCUGCAUUAGCUAGUUGGUAAGGUAACGGCUUACCAAGGCAACGAUGCAUAGCCGACCUGAGAGGGUGAACGGCCACACUGGAACUGAGACACGGUCCAGACUCCUACGGGAGGCAGCAGUAGGGAAUCUUCCGCAAUGGGCGAAAGCCUGACGGAGCAACGCCGCGUGAGUGAUGAAGGCCUUCGGAUCGUAAAACUCUGUUAUUAGGGAAGAACAUAUGUGUAAGUAACUGUGCACAUCUUGACGGUACCUAAUCAGAAAGCCACGGCUAACUACGUG